ACAAGAACAAUAACAAGCAAUGCACAAGACAAUAAAAAUAAGACGAAUCGACUCACGCACAAUAAAAACAAGACGGCGAGAGGCGCAGCUAACUGAUUCUUUUGGAGAGGCGUUGUAUUUGGGGCGUGCCCCACGACCAGGCCGAGAAUAAUAAAAAACUGUCUUUAGGCAGUGCCUGAACUGGUUGGAUCGCAAGAUCACUGCAACACAGCGACCAAAGCAAUCCGUUUGCUCUUGGCUCCCGAUUGGGAGGGUCAUGAAGGAAAAUCUUCAUGGCGAGGGCACUCAACAAAAACAAGAAGCCCGAAUCAAAAAUAAAAAUAGAGCAUGCAACUACUUUCUUGGGGAGCUUCGGCUCCCCUUGUAGUUUCCGCGAUUCGCAACCCCAUCCCCG
rnacentral:sRNA from 1 species